UGAAGAGUUUGAUCAUGGCUCAGAUUGAACGCUGGCGGCAGGCUUAACACAUGCAAGUCGAGCGGAAACGAUGAUAGCUUGCUAUCAGGCGUCGAGCGGCGGACGGGUGAGUAAUACUUAGGAAUCUACCUAGUAGUGGGGGAUAGCACGGGGAAACUCGUAUUAAUACCGCAUACGACCUACGGGAGAAAGGGGGCAGUUUACUGCUCUCGCUAUUAGAUGAGCCUAAGUCGGAUUAGCUAGAUGGUGGGGUAAAGGCCUACCAUGGCGACGAUCUGUAGCUGGUCUGAGAGGAUGAUCAGCCACACCGGGACUGAGACACGGCCCGGACUCCUACGGGAGGCAGCAGUGGGGAAUAUUGGACAAUGGGGGAAACCCUGAUCCAGCCAUGCCGCGUGUGUGAAGAAGGCCUUUUGGUUGUAAAGCACUUUAAGCAGUGAAGAAGACUCCGUGGUUAAUACCCACGGACGAUGACAUUAGCUGCAGAAUAAGCACCGGCUAACUCUGUGCCAGCAGCCGCGGUAAUACAGAGGGUGCAAGCGUUAAUCGGAAUUACUGGGCGUAAAGGGAGCGUAGGUGGCUCGAUAAGUCAGAUGUGAAAUCCCCGGGCUCAACCUGGGAACUGCAUCUGAUACUGUUGAGCUAGAGUAUGUGAGAGGAAGGUAGAAUUCCAGGUGUAGCGGUGAAAUGCGUAGAGAUCUGGAGGAAUACCGAUGGCGAAGGCAGCCUUCUGGCAUAAUACUGACACUGAGGCUCGAAAGCGUGGGUAGCAAACAGGAUUAGAUACCCUGGUAGUCCACGCCGUAAACGAUGUCUACUAGUCGUUGGGUCCCUUGAGGACUUAGUGACGCAGCUAACGCAAUAAGUAGACCGCCUGGGGAGUACGGCCGCAAGGUUAAAACUCAAAUGAAUUGACGGGGGCCCGCACAAGCGGUGGAGCAUGUGGUUUAAUUCGAUGCAACGCGAAGAACCUUACCUGGUCUUGACAUAUCUAGAAUCCUGCAGAGAUGCGGGAGUGCCUUCGGGAAUUAGAAUACAGGUGCUGCAUGGCUGUCGUCAGCUCGUGUCGUGAGAUGUUGGGUUAAGUCCCGCAACGAGCGCAACCCUUGUCCUUAGUUACCAGCGGGUUAAGCCGGGAACUCUAAGGAUACUGCCAGUGACAAACUGGAGGAAGGCGGGGACGACGUCAAGUCAUCAUGGCCCUUACGACCAGGGCUACACACGUGCUACAAUGGUAGGUACAGAGGGCAGCUACACAGCGAUGUGAUGCGAAUCUCAAAAAGCCUAUCGUAGUCCAGAUUGGAGUCUGCAACUCGACUCCAUGAAGUAGGAAUCGCUAGUAAUCGCGGAUCAGAAUGCCGCGGUGAAUACGUUCCCGGGCCUUGUACACACCGCCCGUCACACCAUGGGAGUUGAUUGCACCAGAAGUGGAUAGCUUAACCUUCGGGGAGGCGUUCACCACGGUGUGGUUGAUGACUGGGGUGAAGUCGUAACAAGGUAGCCGUAGGGGAACCUGCGGCUGGAUCACCUCCUU
rnacentral:rRNA from 1 species